AGAAGAUAUGGAUGGAUCCGUCGUAUAAGGAGAUAUCAAAUCGAGCUAAGAAAAAUUGUGCUUCUUCUAAAGGAGGAGCUGUCCAUACAGGUGGAUCUAUAUCCAUUGCUGAACAUACCAUUCAGAUGGCUGAAGAGUUAGGUAGAGACCCCACAUUGGAUGAGGUCUUUUUAAAAACUCACACUAAGAAGAAGGACAAUUCUUGGGUUGAUGAAAGAGCAAAAAAAA